rnacentral:rRNA from 1 species
UAGCUAGUUGGUGAGGUAAAGGCUUACCAAGGCGACGAUCUGUAGCGGGUCUGAGAGGAUGAUCCGCCACACUGGAACUGAGACACGGUCCAGACUCCUACGGGAGGCAGCAGUGGGGAAUUUUGGACAAUGGGGGCAACCCUGAUCCAGCCAUGCCGCGUGAGUGAAGAAGGCCUUCGGGUUGUAAAGCUCUUUCGGCCGGGAAGAAAUCGCAUGGGUCAAUACCCUGUGUGGAUGACGGUACCGGAAUAAGAAGCACCGGCUAACUACGUGCCAGCAGCCGCGGUAAUACGUAGGGUGCGAGCGCUAAUCGGAAUUACUGGGCGUAAAGCGUGCGCAGGCGGUUUUGUAAGACAGGCGUGAAAUCCCCGGGCUUAACCUGGGAACUGCGUUUGUGACUGCAAGGCUAGAGUACGGCAGAGGGGGGUGGAAUUCCACGUGUAGCAGUGAAAUGCGUAGAGAUGUGGAGGAACACCAAUGGCGAAGGCAGCCCCCUGGGUCGAUACUGACGCUCAUGCACGAAAGCGUGGGUAGCAAACAGGAUUAGAUACCCUGGUAGUCCACGCCCUAAACUAUGUCAACUAGGUGUUGGGUGGGUAAAACCAUUUAGUACCGUAGCUAACGCGUGAAGUUGACCGCCUGGGGAGUACGGCCGCAAGGUUAAAACUCAAAGGAAUUGACGGGGACCCGCACAAGCGGUGGAUGAUGUGGAUUAAUUCGAUGCAACGCGAAAAACCUUACCUACCCUUGACAUGCCAGGAACUUGCCAGAGAUGGCUUGGUGCCCGAAAGGGAGCCUGGACACAGGUGCUGCAUGGCUGUCGUCAGCUCGUGUCGUGAGAUGUUGGGUUAAGCCCCGCAACGAGCGCAACCCUUGUCGUUAAUUGCCAUCAUUUGGUUGGGCACUUUAACGAGACUGCCGGUGACAAACCGGAGGAAGGUGGGGAUGACGUCAAGUCCUCAUGGCCCUUAUGGGUAGGGCUUCACACGUCAUACAAUGGUCGGUACAAAGGGUUGCCAAGCCGCGAGGCGGAGCCAAUCCCAGAAAGCCGAUCGUAGUCCGGAUUGCAGGCUGCAACUCGCCUGCAUGAAGUCGGAAUCGCUAGUAAUCGUGGAUCAGCAUGUCACGGUGAAUACGUUCCCGGGUCUUGUACACGCCGCCCGUCACACCAUGGGAGCGGGUUCCGCCAGAAGUAGGUAGCCUAACCGCAAGGGGGGCGCUUACCACGGCGGGGUUCGUGACUGGGGUGAAGUCGUAACAAGGUAGCCGUAGGGGAACCUGCGGCUG